rnacentral:tRNA from 1 species
CGCGGAGUGGAGCAGUUGGUCAGCUCGUCAGGCUCAUAACCUGAAGGUCGUUCGUUCGAAUCGGACCUCCGCAA